UCAGGAGCUGAGAAGAUGGAUGUUGGUGCCAUUGUUGGUGGUGUUCAUGGUGCUCUCAUUGGUCUUGGUCUCAUUCUUAUCGGAGUCCUGGUGAAACUUGGAAUAAUCAAGAACAGGUGUGGAACAGACCAGCAGGUGGCAGCAGACAGAUCUCAGACAGAGGAGUUGAACCCUGCAGGAAACGGUUUGAUAAACGUGGUCUCAGAGGCAUAGAGGUGGUAGAUGAUGGACGACCAUUUAUUACCUGAGAUCAGAAACCACAGAUACAGGGAGGAUUUAAACUGUGAGUCUGUCUUUGAUGGAGAGAUGAUCUCCCACUGUGUUUGUUUUACCGUAUGAUGAAGUCUUCCUUCUUCAUUUUUUAUGGUUUUGUCUGCUCUGUUUCGUUUAGUAAAUAAAGUUUUAAUAAUACUGCCA